rnacentral:rRNA from 1 species
UAUUGAAAAUAUUAUUUGUAUUUUCUUAGGAAAAGUAGUUGGUUGUUUAAGUAGUAGGUUUGAAAUAAUUUUUGUAAUUAUAGAUUAAUAGUACAGUGAGGGGAUGUAUAAAGUUUAUAAAAGAAUAUUUUAUUUUUAGUACCUUUUGUAUCAGGGUUGAUUAAAAAUACGUUUUAUAUAAGAUUAUCUCGAAUUUAGAAGAGCUAGGGGAUUAUAAAUUUUAAUGUGGAAUAAUUAUUUAGAAUAUUUUCCUUGUUAUUAGACGUUAGUCGGUUUUAAAUAUAUCUAGUUUUCAAAGAAAUUAAUUUAAUUAGGCUUGUUUAAUUAAUUAAUUAUUUGGGUAAUUAGUUAUUGAACAGAGAAAUAUUCAGGGGGAUAAGCUCUUGAUUAGAUUAUCUAAAAUAUCAGGUUUGAAGGGUUAAAUAGGAAUAGAAGUUUUCAUUUUUUGUAGUGUGUUAUAUCAAGAUCUUUAAAUAAUUGAUUUGGGGUUUUUUAGAUUUUUUAUUUGAAUAUUGAAUUUAAUUAUAAAUUUUAAGUAAUAAUGAUUAAAUUAGUAUAGUGAGUUGUUCAUAAAUUAUGAAUAGGAAAUUUUAGCUAAGGAAUUCGGCAAAUUUAUUUUCUGCCUGUUUAUUAAAAACAUGUCCUUAAGGUUUUUAUUUAAGGUCUGGCCUGCCCAAUGAUUAAAUUAAAUGGCCGCGGUAUUUUGACCGUGCAAAGGUAGCAUAAUCAUUAGUUUUUUAAUUGAAAGCUGGAAUGAACGGUCUGACAAGAAAAUUACUGUCUCAGUUAAAUAAUUAGAAUUUUAUUUUUUAGUCAAAAAGCUUAAAUGUUUUUAUGGGACGAGAAGACCCUAUAGAAUUUUAUAAUUUUUUCUUGAUUGGGUUUUUAGUUUAAUUGUCCUGAUUAUGAAAAAUUUAAUUUGUUGGGGUGACAGGAAAAUUUAUUUAACUUUUCUUAAGUUUUUUUCACUUAUUUGUGUUUCUUUGAUCCAUUUUUUAUGAUUAUAAGAUUAAAUUACCUUAGGGAUAACAGCGUUAUUAAUUUGGAGAGUUCUUAUUGAUAAAUUAGUUUGCGACCUCGAUGUUGGAUUAAAAUUUAUUUUCGGUGUAGGGGCUGAAAAAUUAAGUCUGUUCGACUUUUAAAAUUUUACAUGAUCUGAGUUUAAACCGGCGUGAGCCAGGUUGGUUUCUAUCUUUAGAAAAUUAUGAUAUUUUAGUACGAAAGGACCAGGUAUCAGUUUAAUAAAUUUUAUUUUGAAUAUUAGU